AAUAAACGCUGGCGGCGUGCCUAACACAUGCAAGUCGCACGAGAAAGGGACUUCGGUCCCGAGUAAAGUGGCGCACGGGUGAGUAACGCGUAGGUAACCUGCCCCCGGGGUUGGGAUAAC
rnacentral:rRNA from 1 species